UACGGAGGGGGCGAGCGUUGUUCGGAGUUACUGGGCGUAAAGCGCACGUAGGCGGUGCGGUAAGUCAGGGGUUAAAGGCUGCAGCUCAACUGCAGUAAGGCCUUUGAUACUAUCGUGCUAGAGUGCCGGAGAGGGUAGCGGAAUUCCCUGUGUAGCGGUGAAAUGCGUAGAUAUAGGGAGGAACACCGGUUGCGAAGGCGGCUACCUGGCCAGUUACUGACGCUCAUGCGCGAAAGCUGGGGGAGCGAACCGG
rnacentral:rRNA from 1 species